rnacentral:rRNA from 1 species
CCUACGGGAGGCAGCAGUGAGGAAUAUUGGACAAUGGAGGCAACUCUGAUCCAGCCAUGCCGCGUGCAGGAAGACUGCCCUAUGGGUUGUAAACUGCUUUUAUACAGGAAGAAACCUACUUACGUGUAAGUAGCUGACGGUACUGUAAGAAUAAGGAUCGGCUAACUCCGUGCCAGCAGCCGCGGUAAUACGGAGGAUCCAAGCGUUAUCCGGAAUCAUUGGGUUUAAAGGGUCCGUAGGUGGUUUAUUCAGUCAGAGGUGAAAUCCCAUAGCUUAACUAUGGAACUGCCUUUGAUACUGAUAGACUUGAGUUAUUGUGAAGUGGUUAGAAUGUGUAGUGUAGCGGUGAAAUGCAUAGAUAUUACACAGAAUACCGAUUGCGAAGGCAGAUCACUAACAAUAUACUGACACUGAGGGACGAAAGCGUGGGUAGCGAACAGGAUUAGAUACCCUGGUAG